rnacentral:rRNA from 1 species
UCCGGUGACUAUAGCGUUGGGGAAACACCCGAUCCCAUUUCGAACUCGGUAGUUAAGCCCUUCAGCGCCGAUGGUACUGCGCGGGAAACCAGCGUGGGAGAGUAGGACGUUGCCGGGA